UGCAGCAACUCCUAUCCCUACCUCCACGCGGUACCGGCCGGAAACUAUGAGCAACCUUAGGGAAGA
rnacentral:ribozyme from 1 species